AUACGGAGGGUGCAAGCGUUGUUCGGAAUCACUGGGCGUAAAGGGCGCGCAGGCGGUUUGGUAAGUCAGAUGUGAAAGCCCAUGGCUCAACCAUGGAAGUGCAUUUGAAACUGUCAGACUUGAGUACUAGAGGGGAAAGUGGAAUUCCCGGUGUAGAGGUGAAAUUCGUAGAUAUCGGGAGGAAUACCGGUGGCGAAGGCGACUUUCUGGCUAGAUACUGACGCUGAGGCGCGAAAGCGUGGGGAGCAAACAGGAUUAGAAACCCGGGUAGUCC
rnacentral:rRNA from 1 species